rnacentral:rRNA from 1 species
GGUGAGUAACGCGUGAGAAUCUGGCUCCAGGUCGGGGAUAACAGUUGGAAACGACUGCUAAUACCGGAUGUGCCGAGAGGUGAAAGAUUUAUUGCCUGGAGAUGAGCUCGCGUCUGAUUAGCUAGUUGGUGGUGUAAGGGACCACCAAGGCGUCGAUCAGUAGCUGGUCUGAGAGGAUGAUCAGCCACACUGGGACUGAGACACGGCCCAGACUCCUACGGGAGGCAGCAGUGGGGAAUUUUCCGCAAUGGGCGAAAGCCUGACGGAGCAAUACCGCGUGAGGGAGGAAGGCUCUUGGGUCGUAAACCUCUUUUCUCAAGGAAGAAGAAAGUGACGGUACUUGAGGAAUAAGCAUCGGCUUAACUCCGUGCCAGCAGCCGCGGUAAUACGGAGGAUGCAAGCGUUAUCCGGAAUGAUUGGGCGUAAAGGGUCUGCAGGUGGAACUGAAAGUCUGCUGUUAAAGAGUUUGGCUUAACCAAAUAAAAGCGGUGGAAACUACAGAACUAGAGUGCGGUAGGGGCAAAAGGAAUUCCUGGUGUAGCGGUGAAAUGCGUAGAUAUCAGGAAGAACACCGGUGGCGAAAGCGUUUUGCUAGACCGUAACUGACACUGAGGGACGAAAGCUAGGGGAGCGAAUGGGAUUAGAUACCCCAGUAGUCCUAGCCGUAAACGAUGGAUACUAGGCGUGGCUUGUAUCGACCCGAGCCGUGCCGGAGCUAACGCGUUAAGUAUCCCGCCUGGGGAGUACGCACGCAAGUGUGAAACUCAAAGGAAUUGACGGGGGCCCGCACAAGCGGUGGAGUAUGUGGUUUAAUUCGAUGCAACGCGAAGAACCUUACCAAGACUUGACAUCCUGCGAAUCCUGGUGAAAGCUGGGAGUGCCUUAGGGAGCGCAGAGACAGGUGGUGCAUGGCUGUCGUCAGCUCGUGUCGUGAGAUGUUGGGUUAAGUCCCGCAACGAGCGCAACCCUCGUUUUUAGUUGCCAGCAUUAAGUUGGGCACUCUAGAGAGACUGCCGGUGACAAACCGGAGGAAGGUGAGGAUGACGUCAAGUCAGCAUGCCCCUUACGUCUUGGGCUACACACGUACUACAAUGCUACGGACAGAGGGCAGCAAGCCAGGGAUGGCAAGCGAAUCCAGAAACCGUAGCUCAGUUCAGAUCGAAGGCUGCAACUCGCCUUCGUGAAGGAGGAAUCGCUAGUAAUUGCAGGUCAGCAUACUGCAGUGAAUUCGUUCCCGGGCCUUGUACACACCGCCCGUCACACCAUGGAAGUUGGUCACGCCCGAAGUCAUUACCCCAACCGAAAGGAGGGGGAUGCCUAAGGUAGGACUGGUGACUGGGGUGAAGUCGUAACAAGGUAGCCGUA